rnacentral:misc_RNA from 1 species
AGGUAGUCUGCGAAUCGCAGUAUUGUUAAAUUGGGUGAAGAAUGCAAGCUUAAAUAACUGCUAGGGUAAAGAUCCACAUGAAUUAAGGUCUAAGAUUUGGGAAAUUUGGAGGCAAAACACUCGGAAUCUUUAAAUUGGCUGCUCUAAGAAUUUGAACCAUAUUUGAAGAUGAUAAAAUUCAGGUUUCUUCUUUAUUUGCUGCUGUCCUACCUCUCUGGGGUCUGGGUUGUAUCGGCCCUUUUGCUAGAUAUUUUAUUUGCUGGAAAAUGCAGAAUAUCAAAUUGCCUUUUCUUUCAGCCUUGUUCUGAAUUCUUUUUGAGAUCCUUUUUAUGCAUACAGUCCUUGCUUUUCUCCUAGACUCCAUCAGCACUGAUCAGGAGCUUGUGAUUUGUUGAGAA